rnacentral:rRNA from 1 species
CCUACGGGUGGCAGCAGUAGGGAAUCUUUCUCAAUGGGCGAAAGCCUGAAGGAGCAACGCCGCGUGCAGGAUGAAGGCUUUCGGAUUGUAAACUCCUUUUGUGAGAGAGGAUAAUGACGGUAUCUCACGAAUAAGCACCGGCUAACUCCGUGCCAGCAGCCGCGGUAAUACGGAGGAUGCGAGCGUUACUCGGAAUCACUGGGCGUAAAGAGUUCCAAGGCGGGCUUGUAAUUGAGAUGUGAAAUUCUGUGCCUUAACUAUAGAACUAUAUUUGAAACUGUGAGUCUAGAGUGUGGGAGAGGUAAGUGGAAUUUUUGGUGUAGGGGUGAAAUCCGUAGAUAUUAAGAGGAACACCGAUUGCGAAGGCGAGUUACUGGAACAGUUCUGACGCUCAUGCACGAAAGCGUAGGGAGCAAACAGGAUUAGAUACCCUAGUAGUC